GGGAGAAGGGAGAACAGUCACAAUCCAGGCGUGAGCCAGCCCACACACGCCCACACCCAUCCACAACAAGCCUGCAAUGGAGGAGCUUUUGAAUUCUCUUUGUGAUAAAGUCCUCUGGGAUGGAAAAGUGUGUUAAAUCAAGAGGGAAGGAUUAAGUUCAUGCUGCCCUGCCACCAUUGAUCUCCAUGAAGUAUUGUGUCCAACUGAAGAUGUACGGAACUACAUCGCAGAGGCUUAUGUGAGGCUGCUGUAGUGAACCUCAUGGGCUGUCAAUGCAUAGGGCUGUAUGGAGGCACCAGCUCACACUGGCACUACAUCAGGUCCAACUCCCUCAGCCUCUCCUCACAGGACAAGUACUUCAGCCCCCAACCAUCUUGGUGAACCUCUGUGGAGCUUGCUCCACUUUAUGGCCCUCCCUAAACAGAGUGAGCAUGAGCUUUCCUUACCCAUGAGGGUGAGAUUAAAGAAAGGCAUGGCACUGCACACCAAGAUGCCAGA